AGAGUUUGAUCAUGGCUCAGGACGAACGCUGGCGGCGUGCCUAAUACAUGCAAGUCGAGCGGAGUUAUCCUUUCGGGGAUGGCUUAGCGGCGGACGGGUGAGUAACACGUAGGCAACCUGCCCCUUAGAUCGGGAUAACAUUCGGAAACGAAUGCUAAGACCGGAUACAUCAUUCUGCUGCAUGGUGGGAUGAGGAAACA
rnacentral:rRNA from 1 species